rnacentral:rRNA from 2 species
AAGGAUCAUUAAUGAAUUUGAAAGGCGAGGGCUUGAUGCUGGCGCGGAGACGCGGAUGUGCACGGCCCCCGUCCUCAGUCCAUUCAACCCCUGUGCACCCUAUGGGAGUUACUAGUCGACAGUAAAGUGAGUCAGUAGUCGAGAGGCGAACACUUACGGGAUGGUCGGCGAACACUUCAAGUAUUAUCAACCCUUUGUUGUCAUGUAGAAUGGAAUGCUCCUUGUGGGCGAAAUGAAAUACAACUUUCAACAACGGAUCUCUUGGCUCUCGCAUCGAUGAAGAACGCAGCGAAAUGCGAUAAGUAAUGUGAAUUGCAGAAUUCAGUGAAUCAUCGAAUCUUUGAACGCACCUUGCGCCCCUUGGUAUUCCGAGGGGCAUGCCUGUUUGAGUGUCAUGUUAAUUUCAACUCCCCUUGUUUCUUAACUCGGGUGUGUUGGACUUGGAAGCUGCUGGCCCCCUUCGUUGUGGUCGGCUCUUCUUAAAUGCAUUAGCUGGGCUUUGGCUCGCGCUGAACGGUGUAAUAGUAAUCUUACAUUCACCUGAGCGCUUGCCUAACAAGUCUGCUUCUAAUCGUCCGUGUUUUCGGACAAGGUCGCUUUGUCGCCUUCAUUUGACACCUUGACCUCAAAUCAGGUAGGAUUACCCGCUGAACUUAA